GUCUUAUUGAAUAUAAUUUUAAGUCUAAUCUGCCCAAUGAUUUAUUUAAUGGCUGCAGUAUUUUGACUGUACAAAGGUAGCAUAAUAAUUAGUUUUUUAAUUAAGAACUGGAAUGAAUGAUUUGACGAAAUAAUAACUGUCUUAGUUUAAAUGAGGGAAUUUUAUUUUUAAGUUAAAAAGCUUAAAUAAGUUUAAAAGACGAGAAGACCCUAUAGAAUUUUAUAUAUUUAAUAUUAGGUUUAAAGUUAGAAAUUAGUAAGGACUGAUAGUUUAUAUUUAAUUGGGGUGAUUUAAAAAUUAAAAGAACUUUUUAUUAAAUAGUAUUCAUUUAUUUAUGUAUGGAUGAUCCAAUAGUUUUGAUUAUAAGAUUAAAUUACCUUAGGGAUAACAGCGUAAUUUUUUUGGAAAGUUCAUAUUGAUAAAAAAGAUUGCGACCUCGAUGUUGGAUUAAAAUUAAUAUUUGGUGUAGGAGCUAUAUAUAUAAGUCUGUUCGACUUUUAAAAUUUUACA
rnacentral:rRNA from 1 species